rnacentral:rRNA from 1 species
CAGUAGCCGCGGUAACACGAAGGGGGCUAGCGUUGUUCGGAAUUACUGGGCGUAAAGGGCGCGUAGGCGGCCAUUCAAGUUAGAUGUGAAAGCCCUGGGCUCAACCUAGGAAUUGCAUUUGAUACUGUUUGGCUUGAGUUCGGGAGAGGUGAGUGGAAUUCCCAGUGUAGAGGUGAAAUUCGUAGAUAUUGGGAAGAACACCAGUGGCGAAGGCGGCUCACUGGACCGACACUGACGCUGAGGCGCGAAAGCUAGGGGAGCAAACAGGAUUAGAUACCCCCGUAGUCCCUGUCUCUUAUAC